AACAAACGCUGGCGGCGUGCCUAACACAUGCAAGUCGUACGAGAAGGGGUCCUUCGGGGCCUGAGUAAAGUGGCGCACGGGUGAGUAACGCGUGGACAAUCUGCCCUUCAGUUGGGAAUAACUCAUCGAAAGGUGGGCUAAUACCGAAUAAUGCUGUGAGACCUCGGUUGAUCAGCCAAAGAGAGCCUCUGCUUGCAAGCCCUCGCUGAAGGAUGAGUCCGCGUACCAUUAGUUAGUUGGUAGGGUAAUGGCCUACCAAGGCGACGAUGGUUAGCUGGUCUGAGAGGAUGAUCAGCCACACUGGAACUGAGAUACGGUCCAGACUCCUACGGGAGGCAGCAGUGAGGAAUCUUGCGCAAUGGGGGCAACCCUGACGCAGCAACGCCGCGUGAGUGAGGAAGGUCUUCGGAUCGUAAAGCUCUGUCGGAUGGAAAGAACCGCAUAGGGGUAAACAGCCCCUGUGUCUGACGGUACCGUCAAAGGAAGCACCGGCUAACUCCGUGCCAGCCGCCGCGGUAAGAC
rnacentral:rRNA from 1 species